GCUUCACUGCACAACAUCUGCUUCAUGCUUCCCUGCUCUGGAAGGGUUCAUAUCAAUACCUGUGCUUGCAGGGCAGAUAAAUAAGAACAACACUGACUUUCCAUUAAAAAAAAAAAAAAAGAAAAAAGACUGGUUUAUCUCAGUUUAGCAAACAUAUAUGACUCCCUUCAUUAACGUGGGCCAAUUUAGGCACAGUCACCAGUGCAAAAAUAUGCUGGAGGCUUCAAGAGAGGCUCCCUUGGGAAUAUAUGCCUGCUUCAAAGCAGUGAUAGAAAUGCCCAGCAAACAGCUUGGACGUGCUGCCACUUGGCUGCUCUGCUCAGAGGGGAUAGAUCCAAAGCCACAGCGGCCCAGCACCAGCUAAACUGGCAGCAAAUGAGAAGGACGUGCCAGUGCCUCAGCCCUGUCCCCACCGCUCCACGGCGUUGUUCCAGCACACCCCCCAGGGGCCUAAAGGACUUCCAUCUCUUAGCAAAAGCAAAAUAAGAAUAAUAAUAAGAGGUAAUUGCAAGUGUUCUCACAGCACAGGCUAGAACUGAGCCUUCUUCAGCCAUCGGUAAGCAGAAUAAUGCAAUGACACUUCCUUUUCUAUUAUCUUCCCAUCAAUACCCAAGCUGGUAUCUAUUACAGCUAAUUCUAAGAGCAAGUUUAAGAGCUCUGCAGUCUCAGGUCUGCCCCUGCUGUGCCGUGUCCUCACCCUGCCCCACUGUGUUGCGUUGGCACCUCCCUGCCCCAGGGAACCCCCAUGGACCGCGGGAGCAGCUGGGCACCAUGGGCACGCUGUGCAGAGCAUCCCCUGGUGAGAAUCCCCAAAGAGAAAAGGUCCUAAAUGCCUGGCUUUAUUUUUAUCUCUAUGAACCCAUCAGUUACGGCCAGUGGCUUGCACGUUGUUCCCGACAAAAAGGAAAACUAUGUCAUACAAAUUCAAGGCACUAGAGACAAGCAAGUUCCAUGAUCGUAUCCAGCCUUCAUUUUCAGAAAAAAAAAUCUCUUAUAUUUUCUGCCUGUGAUAGGGAGCGAAGAUGAUAAUAAACACAAGCUUACUUCAUAAAACUGAAUGCAAUACUAAAGGAAAAACUGCUGCAAGAGAACUUCAGCUCAUGUCAAUGGGCGUAAAGCAAGAGCACUCAUCUACCCCAAGAGCCUGCCGCUCACGUAUGAGGGCACGACGAUAAUAGUAGUAGGGUUUUAUUUGUUAUUCUGGAGCUACUUGGUGCUUAGGACUGCAGAAGUGCUCAUGAAAGACUGAGCCACGACUCACGCUGGGCAGCCCAUGUGCAUGCCAAUAAGACACUCCCGCACACUACUGAAAGCUCGUGCAUGCUACUCCACAUGUGUUACAGAAAGCUUCUUCUGGGAGGCCAUACUCUUGGUAAAAUUAGCAGCAUAACUUUAAAUUGUCCUCUUGGAAAACAAGCCACUACAGAUGACACGCGGGAAAUUAUACUUAUUCUCUGCAUAAAAAGACCGCUAUUUCAAAGUUGCCACAGUGGCAGAGAUGAAGCCCAUGUUUGUAGGAGGAAAAGGAAUCAAGGUCUUGGCAGAAGGGGUUUGUUUGUUUGUUACUUGCUGGUUUGCUUUUUCUGGCAGCCAUCUGAAGAAGUUGAAGAGUUCUAACGAUGGCAUAAAUCUCAGUAGAGAUACAGUGAGCAAAAGCAGGUGAAGUGAACAAAGCUGAAAUUUAAUCACAUUUCUAUUAUAAUCAAAUAUGUAUUCACAGUUGUGUACAACAUAUUAUAAAAACACACAAUGAGCUAAAUUGUGAUUUCAGCAGUGUAAAUAGCAGAGAAAAUGCAUUGAUCUCAGGAGAGCACUUCUGGCUUCUCACUGGUAAACCAAGAAGAAUUUUGAACAACAUAUGCUAAUUAUAUACAAUAUAAUCUGGCAAUCUGUACAGUCAUCGCUGAAACUAAACUUCAUUCAUCCUGCCAGAAUGUUCAUUGGUCUGAAACUUUGCUGCAGAAAGAAAUAUAACCCUCUGAUUUUCGUCAGGCAGCAAGUCAAACUUCAAGUCACAUUAAAAGAUAAAACUUCAAUACAUAUCUAAAUUCUAGUUUACCUUCCCAACUCACUUUGUGGAUGAGGUAUGAUUUCAUAAGGCAGUGACUUCCCAGAACUGCAAAGAAAAAUAUCCUGCACGUUUAUUUCUCCAUUGUCUAUUUUACAUAAUUUGUUGUUCGAUUAGUAGGAGCACAUAAUUAAAAACAAAGCCCAGGUAAUUAAAUUAAGAACUGAUUUAUUUCUAAAUCGUAUUCCUCAUGGUUAGAAAGUCAGCAGCAAAACUCUGCAUUGAGAGAGAACACCCGCAUGAAAAAACACAUUAAUAAACCAGGUCAGUGAAGGGAGGCAACAGUGUUUUCUACUUCCUUUUCCAAUUAGAAGAGAAAUUCCAAAAGCUAGAGUUUGUCUAGGCUACAUUAUGCAUUUAGUCAUAGUUUAACAUCCUACCAGUCUUAUGCAUUUCCUUGGCCCCAAAGUGGCAUUUUUCAUCCUUAGUAAAAUGGAGUACCUCGACUCAUCUUCAUCUACUCUAGCUGGAAUCACUGUGGUUUCCUCAACGUGUGAAGCAUCUUAAAAUCUAACCCCUCUUCCCUCCAGCAGGGGUUUGGUUUAGCCCAUCACAGGGCCUCCUACCCACAGCAGUGGAAAGCCGCUCGCAGCUGGCUGCAAGCCGGGGGAUGAGCACAGGGAAGCGUCCCACCGCUUUUCGAGCAUGCUGGACUGGGUUUCUCACUCUCCGUUGAAAUCUGAAUACCGACUCCCUGAUUUGCAUGUUCUCAGAUGCUAUCCAAGACAAGUGUGGAAUAUCACCUUGCCAACGUUUCACAAUUCAAUACGUGUUGACUUUGAUCAAUGCUGAUACUUCUAUAGGUAGCUGUGCAAAAGACACCUAAAUACAUUUUAACAUCUACCCAAUGAACUCUUCCUCAAAAUCACCAGGCUUGAUCCUGAGGUUACAAGUAAACCAUAGCCUAUGUGAUCAUUCGUCGCUCCUGACACCUUCCCUUUUUUCCUCACUUGAAAAAUUGAUCAUCGUAAUACCAAAGAAAGUUUGUAUUAACAUAAAUCUAUUCCACUUAAGCACUGGCUUGGACAACGAAUUAUUAAAUCUUGACAAAAAGAAUAUUUAUGAGAUACAGAAGAGCCUUCUGACAUAGAUGAAUCAAUAUUUUUUUUCCUCAGAAUUCUCGGAAUCAUCAAAAAGACAAUAUUUAUAUAGAAAAAAACCCUAAGGCAGUGACAAGGAUGGUAUCGUAUUUUUCUUAAGUCAGUGCAAUAAAGUAAACAAGAGGAAAAAAAAAUCAAAUCUAACGGAAGAGCCCACAAUAUGUCACAAGGACAUGUUGUUGUAUAUGCUAGGAGAAAAAGCAAAGAGUUCAAGCAGUGCCGGAGGAUUUGUGGCAACAGGCAGACAAAAUUGCAUCUGCACCCUCAACAGUAAACGACACAUGUAAUAGGGCAUGCACAGCUUCCAUUUCGGGA